rnacentral:rRNA from 1 species
UACAGAGGGGGGCAAGCGUUUAUUCGGAAUUAUUGGGCGUAAAGGGCGCGUAGGCGGCAUGGCAAGUGGAUGGUGAAAUCCCUCGGCUUAACCGAGGAACUGCCGUCCAAACUGCUUCGCUUGAGACCGGGAGAGGUGAGUGGAAUUCCCAGUGUAGCGGUGAAAUGCGCAGAUAUCAGGAGGAACACCGGUGGCGAAGGCGGUUCUCUGGGCAUGUCCUGACGCUGAGGAGCGAAAGUGUGGGGAGCGAACAGG